UACAGAGGUGGCAAGCGUUGUUCGGAAUUACUGGGCGUAAAGGGCGCGUAGGCGGUUCGUUAAGUCCUGUGUGAAAUCCCCCCGGCUCAACUGGGGAACUGCACAGGAAACUAGCGGGCUUGAGUUCGGGGAGAGGGAAGCGGAAUUCCGGGUGUAGCGGUGAAAUGCGUAGAUAUCCGGAGGAACACCGGUGGCGAAGGCGGCUUCCUGGACC
rnacentral:rRNA from 1 species